UCGAUGACCAUCUACGGAGGUCUAUGGUUACUAUUUAUAUUAGGUUAUACCUUUCGCUUAUUGCGAUGUUGUGUUACUCCUAGUACCCAGCAAUGACACUUACAUUAUUACUUUUUCUGGACAAUUUUCGGAUGUUCAUUAGGUUACAUAUUUUGCUUAAUGCGAUGUUGUGUUAGUCCUAGUACCCAGUGACCACACUUACAGUAGUACAUUUUCUUUUUUACUUUAUUUUGUGAUACUUUCACAUAAACGAUGAGUUAGACUAAGUACUUUAGUACUAAACAAUUGAAGGAAAAACUAUCAUUUUACUAACAAAACAUUCGGGUCUUGGUAGAAGACUACAUUUUCAUAACAAAACAUCCGGGUCUUGGUAGAAGACUACAUUAUUAUAACAAAACAUUUUGGUCUUGGUAGAAGACUACAUUAUGAUAACAAAACAUUCGGGUCUUGGUAGAAGACUACAUUAUUAUAACAAAACAUUCGGGUCUUGGUAGAAGACUACAUUUCAUACUUACAGACAACAAGGGAUUUUCUAGGGUUUUUCAUACUUACAGCAACACUUUCAUUAAAGGUUUGCAUGGCCUUCAUAAUAGAUUUUCAUAAGCCAGACAAUGACACUUAAAUACUUAUAUAUUCACCAGCUUUAAAGCUGAUACUCGCUUUCAAAAUAACUUGUAUUCUCAGGUUAUCAGUUAGACAGGUGCGAUGGUCAGAUUUUUGAGAAGAUGGAGCACAGACAAGACUCGCCUUAUUUUGAUUAUUCAUAUUAUUGUUGUACAUUAUGAAAUAACACUCAUGUAUUAAUACUUACUUAUAAUGCAAUGGAUGAUGUUUUUUCUUGUUUAUUAUAUUACAUUGUUGUGAUAGUGUACAUGACAUCUUCCACCCCUGAACGUUUCCGUCGUUCGUGGUUUUGGGGUGUAACAGAUUGGUAUCAGAGCAUUGUUUAUAGUGAAUUAAGUAUAUCCGCCCAUAAAAGAUAUACUAACUAUAAACACAUUGGGAUUAAAACACUCUAUCUAAGAGUUGAUACCUUUAAAUAAUAAAAUAUUUAACAAAGUAUACGUGCCUGCAUUCAUACUAAAAUCAGUGUCACAACGACAAGAGAAAAAGUAUUACGAUUGUUGAAUAUCACAAGUAAGCCUAGGGAUAUAUGGUCAGUCUUGGGAAUGGCAUAGCCUAAUCAACUAUGUUGUUCCGAGGAGUGAUUAAAAUAUGNUUGUGAUAUGGUAACAAGUCUAAAAACUUUCCAACACAACCAUAAAGGAAUACCAUAAGGGUAUUUGGUCUUAUUGUAAUUAUCUUAGUCAGUUCGUCUAUGUAGCUAUUUCUUAUAUCCCCAAAUUCUCGCGUAGAUAACAUGGCUGGAUUCCACCCCCACGACAACCUGUUCCUUCCGAACGCGGUUAUUGCUGGAUGGUUUAGAGAAGAACCAGUUAAGUUGAAGACCUUUCAUAUGAUGCCAUCUCCGAACCCGAGGUUGAGAACCUACCCCAGGCAGCUUCCUUUCCGAUUCCUAACCCUCGUCCGGCUUUUCAUGGCCCGACGCCUGAGUGGGUGGAAUGUUUGGAAAAGUGGAGCCAAGGACAAGAUCGGCCCAUGCCAUUUAAUGGUGACCGAAGCUUCUAUGACUUGAGCAAUGGGGGCUCAGCAGACAGAAGCAUGCCAAUUCUGAUCCAAAGAGUUGCCCGAAACGAAAUUCAGGGCAGGACAGCUCUACAACGUAUCGCAGAAGUCGAUACAAAUGGAGGAAUGCAUAUGCUUCGCACGAGUCGCCUUGAACAUGCUCAUGAGAGGUCUGAAAGAGACCAUGAAACCCUGCUGCAAGCACUGGCUGAAUCACGAGCCGAAGUCAUGGAACUUCGGGUACGCCAGAGAGUGUACGAAAGACACCUACUUGAUGUGGAACGCCAACUGGCUGAACUUAGAGUUCGCCAGAGGGAUGACCGUCACUAGUAGUAGAUAUUUUACUUUAUUUUCCUUGUUAGAAAGGAAUCGUCUUUCUAUCUAUGCCCGAUGUGGUAUUUUCUAUGAAACUAUCUUGUACUGUAAGUACUUUAGUUAGGCCCUUUAUGUUGUCGAGAACUAUCUUCUCUGGAUAUGAUGUAAGACCUUUUACAAGGUCAUUUUCCUGAACCUGUACGUCAUGAAUAUCAAAGAUAUUGACAGUCGGCUAACUUCUGAGUCAUUCUUUAUUCAAAUACUCUUAUCAUACUUUCAUUAGAGUCUAUUUGAAACAUGCUCUAGUCAAGUCAUUGGACUAUAGCCAUUUAACUCCGGACACAUGUCCAAGUCUCUGGUAAUGGUUGGAUCAUGUUAUUCACCAACCAACAAUACCUCAGCUCGAAUAACAAACAUCUUGAGACCGUUUUAAGAACUUACUUCCAAUCUUUACUAGGACUGCAUCAUAGGGAUGUAGGUCGAACUUACCUAAACAUACUUCCAUUCCGUACUAGGACUGCAUCAUAGGGAUGUAGGUCGAACCUUAGAGAACAUACUUCUAUUCUUUACAUGAUCGAUCGAACUACGUCUAGGUUCAACCAUUUUCGCUCACAAAUUCAUUUUUCUUUCGGUGUAACAGAAUCAUGAAUCCCAAAAAAACGAUCAGCCCAUCAACCCAACACCAACGCUUCAGAUUGAUGCAGCUACCUUUCAAGCUGCAGUCUCGGCUGCCGUGUCAGCUGUUAUGACCCACCUGAACGCUAACAACGCAAGUGUUAGCAGGAUCGCUAUCAAUCAUUCCAAUCCAAGUAACAAUCCAACCCCGCAACGACCAACAAACUACCAUGGUACCCCGAGUGCCGAGGCCAAGAGUAACAGCCAGAAGUUUUGGGCCAAAAGGAAGAACAAGUCGCUUCGAAGGGCAAAUAAGAACACAGCUACGACAUCUGCACUUCCUACUACCAUUCCUUCUGGUGCCCCAAUUGUCCCUAAACCAGCCAAACUUUAUGCUGGAAUUCUCCCAAAAUGCAUUAAAUGCAGUUUUCACCACCAUGGACUUUGUUGGGAGAUGCAGUGCUCACACUGCAACAGGAAGGGGCAUACAGCUCGUUACUGCAAGACUCUAACAGCUCAGCCUGCCCAAGUGCCAAACACCAGUGUGAACCAGGUUUGCUACGGCUGUGGCAAAGUAGGUCACUACAAAAGGAACUGCCCAGGGGCAGAAAUUGCUGGCACAGACGAAAGUCUACAACCAACCACCGCCGCAGGAGAGUCUACUUCGGACCCACGUUAAUGUAAUUUAGGCGUUUCGUUGUAACAGACUUAUGAACCAUCCCAAAUCUAGUGCAACUAGAGUCUUAUCUUUUGCGGGAUCCUGUCGGUAUAAGGAUGCUCGUGCUGCAUAUACUUGUCUUUUGUAGUAUAUCUGAUUCGCAGCAAUAGUCUUGUAGCAAAUCUAAAGUACUGUAACUCUAAUCAUGGUUGCACAGUUGUUUUUGUCUGUAAACAUUUUAUGCUCAAAUCCAAUGUCUUUAAGUUUCUGUAUGAUUCCGACAUUAUCAUACGACUCGAUUCAAUUCAAUCCUCGCAAUACCAGCUUCAUAAGUACAUCUCUUUCUUAGUAAACGUCUUUUAGCGAAGUUGUCAUAUCAGAACACCGAAGUACUCAUACAAGGAGUACCUUAUAGUUCUUUUCCUUUCCGAAGGAAUCCCCACAGUAUUACUCGUGCAGUACGUCAAGUUCAAUUCCAGGAUUCAUACGGUUCAUCUAUCACUGAAGAAGGUAUACAAGAGAGUGAUAUAUAAUCAAAGUUCUACAGGUUUAGAAUUGAUGAUUCCACUUUAAUUUCUUUUCCCGCGAUGGGAUGUGAGAUUAAGAAAGAAUCAGUUAUUCAACUACCUUUUCAGUCUUAAUUAUAUACGACUCGUAUACACGAAAUUGUGAUCCUUGAAUCACGUAUGAAUUCUAAUAUGAACUUCAGGACGGAGACUGUCCAGGAGUACGAGUAAUUCCAUUGGCAUAGGAACAAACUUAGAACCCAGUAUGACUCUUAGAACCAGAUCGCCUUCAGUCUAAACACCUACGGAAGAUACAAGAACAACCUGGACAACACAACGAACUACUCAACCAUAGAAUAUGAAGACCAGGCUUCUCACCCUUGAGAGCUCUAGUCUUAUUCUUACCAGAAGUCGACGGAGUGCAUCAUAUGUACCUCGACGACCAGAGACUUCGUUUAGAUUUCCUUUAGAAAUCGUUAUCUCUGCCUCGCUUAGAAGAACCGAUUGAGCAACCACAGGGAAAGUAUUACUUUCAGAAAUGGACCUGAAAUCCAAAUAUCACCAGUUCGAGUGUUAGGGAAGGAUGUCCUAAAGACUACCCUCCGAACUCGAUGCGGACACUUCGAGUCCGUAGUGAUACCCCUCGGAUAGGACCAAUACGCCCAUAGUAUUCAUGAGCUAAAUGAGUGGAGUACGCCUUUCUUACUGGGAUCAGUUCGUCAUUUCUCCAUGUAAUGACUUACUUAUCUACCCUCGUAGUAAGAAAGAACCCAUAGAAACAUUACCCUCGGAGAUGCUUUUCGCAAAGUUCUCUAAUCAAGAGUUUUGGAAUUUAGAGUCAAAUUUCCUGAGACACACUAUUAGUGUUGUGGAAAUUCUUGAGUACUCUGUCAAAUUAUCCAAAACCGUUGGGAAUUUGUCGGCACCGUAGUCACCGACGGAAAAUUCGCCAAAUUCUAGGUCUUACAGACCUACUAUCAUAGUCCAUUCGGAACUCCCCACAAAUUUCAAAAACCCUUUCGACUUUGACCCAGCAAGGGAUGGCCCUUGACUGGGAAGUAAGCGAGAGAAAGAACAUUUGGAAUUCCAAGUGAGAGACCAAAUUCUUUAGGAAACCUCACUCUGGGAACGGCUUAAUACGCUUCGUAAAGCGUGGAAAGCUAAAAUCCAAUAUAGUUAGGACCUCCGAGAUUCUUACCAGAAUCGGUCCUGCAUUUCACAAACUAGACCUACUCCGCGAACUCAGUAACGUACAUUUUCCCCUUCGCGUCUCGAACUUGAAACAGUAUCCUUCCAUUAGGACUUUCGUAAUCCCUCUCGACGAGAUCGAGAUUUACGAGAUCCUUGCCUUCGUAUUAGAACCGUAGUGACCCUCGACCGAGUGGUCAAGCGGACGAAGCAACGCCGUCGCCCGUUAGUGAAGGUUCGUUGGGAUACCAACCGAGAACCCGAUUUCACUUAGGAGUACGAGAACCAACCGAUUAGGAAGUUCACAUAACGACUCGAUCAUUCGUACAUACUUCCUUGCCUAAAUUCUAAUUUCGGGACGAAAUUCCCUUUAACAGGGGGAUGAUGUGACAACCCGAAAUUUCCAUUCUGAACAAACCAUAUCAAGCCAAUAGAAGUUAGAACAGUUUCAGCAAAAUUCCAAACUUUGGGUAUAAGUUUGGCAGUUUUCAGGAUUUACACUUAAGGAGAUAUCAGGAGAGUGGUUGCACUAGGGUUUUGUGCAACACUGUUAUUCCAACACUCGAUUAUAUUAGAAAUCAUAUCGGGAAUAAAAAUAUUUUGCUGCCAAAAUAUCUCAGGACUAUAAAUAGAAUUCUGAACCAAAUUAUGUCAUUAUUCGCAUUUCCAUCUAGAGAAAAGCCAUUUUCUCUCUCACGGAUCUUCGGGUUUUUAUCCCAAAUCGUGAGUACACUUCUCUAGUUGUCUUAUAAUGCUUAUUAUGUGCUUAAUAACUUAGAUUACAUAUCAAAUCUGUGAGAUUCGGGAGUUUACCGCCCAAGAACGUUCUUGGAGAGUAAACUCCAAAAUGAGGCUUAAAUGCUACCUAGUCUUUUCCCCAUGUUAGGUAACUACCUUAGGCUUGUAUAUAAGUGUGUUUGAGACUGGAAAACAAACAAAACCCAAAGAUUCGGGAGUUUACCGCCCAAAAACACUUGGGGAGUAAACUCCAUUUUAAGGGCUAAAGGUGUCCCAAAGUCCCUUAAAGCCUCAGAUCUCAAACUAGAAGCCUACAUCACAUGUUUAGACCACCAAAUCAAUUAAUAUUCAAGGGAGAAAGAGAGUUCACGGCCCAAAAGGUUCUAGGGUCGUGAACUCCAAUAAAUGGUGCCAAAUGGUGCCAUAAUUCCUCCUAAAGCCUUGAACAAUUGCCUAGAACCUAUCCUAUAUGAGUAUGGGACUUGAAAGCAUCAAAAACAUCAUUCCAAGGGAGUUUACGGCCGUAAACUCCAAGGGAAUAUGGUCCCAGGUCCGUAAACUCCUAAAAGGAGUUAUAUUAUGCCCUAAACUCUUCCAUAGACCAAGCCAUUAAGUAGAAAUGCUUAUUAGGGCCUUAUAGAGCAUCAAACAUCAAAUGGUAACAUAAGUGUGAGCUUNCAGCCGUCAACUCAAGAGUUUACUACCGUAAACUCCAUGUGUGAUGGUAUAUGAGGUGUAAAUUCAUAUAUGGGGUCCUUUGGAACCCUAAACACAAGUGCCUUGUCCCACAAUAGCUUAGAUGCAACCCUAAGGGCUUAAAACACUUAUAUAAAGUGUUUAUUUUGUCUAGGAUGUAUUAACAUUAUUAAAUAGUGAUUUGAGACUAAUUGAGUACAUAUAUGUGUGAAUAUAUGUUCAUUAGGAUCGUAGUGUGUGUACAAGUCCUCACUUGACACCUAGCAAUCCUACGUCGUCCAGUUCAUCCGAACUACCAACAAUAGGUGAGUUCAUACCCCUUAAUCAAUGUUUUAAAUGAUGUUAAAUGUUUUAAUGGGGGGGAAUACAAGUAGAAAACAGUAUGUUAUUAAAUCAAUCUUAUGUAUUUUGUAACUAUGUUUUCACUCAGUAGAUUUCACAUAUUUCAAAAGGUGACACAUGAAGUGGUUUUCUAUCUUAAAAUACCUUGAUAACAAAAGUAUUAGUUUUGAAAUGUUUAUUAAAAUGACAUCAAGUCAUUCUUAAUUAUUGUUCAAAACUCCUAGAUAUCUUGCAAAACCAUUAUUUUACCUUCUUGAAUCAAACUAUACUUAUGCGCAUAUGUUCAUUUAUAUGUUAGAAAUUAUAGUUUUCACCCUUCAUUUAGUUUCCAAUACUCUUGGGUAGCAAGAGUGCAUAAAUCUACUUAAACAACCAAUUACCUUCCAGUUAGCUAUCAUAGGGAUAGUCAGAAGAUAUCAAACAUUAUUACUAUUACAAGGAAUCACACAAGAGUCAGUUCAUUCAUGAGUCUAUACCAAUACCUUACAUGAUACAUGAGUACACGUACUUAGGAUUACAUGAUACAUGAAUAUGUUUACAUAUACUUACCUGUUACAUGAACACACUUACAUGAAUACCAUACAGGAACACUUUUACAUAGGUGCAUUAUCCUGUAUUCACUUACCUGGAUACUUGUACUUAGGACUACGAGGAUGAUUUAUUAGUACUUUCUGUGUAAAUUAUCUUUCCUAUCUCGGUUCAAUGGGAUAGCUCGGCGGGACUUACCAUUCCGAACCCCACUGAUUAGCACCAGUGGUCGAUGACCAUCUACGGAGGUCUAAGGUUACUACUUAUACUAGGUAGAUCGAUAACCGGGGCUAACCCCUCCACCCACCUACUGCUGCUACAGAGGACAAGUGGAUAAUCUUCGAAUGUUCAUUAGGUUAUACCUUUCGCUUAUUGCGAUGUUGUGUUACUCCUAGUACCCAGCGAUGACACUUACAUUAAUACUUUUUCUGGACAAUCUUCGGAUGUUCAUUAGGUUACAUAUUUCGCUUAAUGCGAUGUUGUGUUAGUCCUAGUACCCAGUGACAACACUUACAGUAGUACAACUUACAUUAAUACUUGUUCUGGACAAUCUUCGGAUGUUCAUUAGGUUACAUAUUUCGCUUAAUGCGAUGUUGUGUUAGUCCUAGUACCCAGUGACAACACUUACAGUAGUACAUUUUCCUGUUUACUUUAUUUUGUGAUACUUUCACAUAAACGAUGAGUUAGACUAAGUACUUUAGUACUAAACAAUUGAAGGAAAAACUAUCAUUUUACUAACAAAACAUUCGGGUCUUGGUAGAAGACUACAUUAUCAUAACAAAACAUCCGGGUCUUGGUAGAAGACUACAUUAUUAUAACAAAACAUUUUGGUCUUGGUAGAAGACUACAUUAUGAUAACAAAACAUUCGGGUCUUGGUAGAAGACUACAUUAUUAUAACAAAACAUUCGGGUCUUGGUAGAAGACUACAUUUCAUACUUAUAGACAGCAAGGGAUUUUCUAGGGUUUUUCAUACUUACAGCAACACUUUCAUUAAAGGUUUGCAUGGCCUUCAUAAUAGAUUUUCAUAAGCCAGACAAUGACACUUAAAUACUUAUGAAUUCACCAGCUUUAAAGCUGAUACUCGCUUUCAAAAUAACUUGUAUUCUCAGGUUAUCAGUUAGACAGGUGCGAUGGUCAGAUUUUUGAGAAGAUGGAGCACAGACAAGACUCGCCUUAUUUUGAUUAUUCAUAUUAUUGUUGUACAUUAUGAAAUAACACUCAUGUAUUAAUACUUUACUUAUAAUGCAAUGGAUGAUGUUGUUGCUUGUUUAUUAUAUUACACUGUUGUGAUACUGUACAUGACGUCCUCCACCCCUGAACGUUUCCGUCGUUCGUGGUUUUGGGGUGUGACACUAGCCAAACAAGUGUUCUACAUUCGUGGGCCUAUUAAUCAUCGAAGAAACCAAAACAAUAACCCUUGUUGUGUCGGCGAGCAUGUUAAUUAUCGAAGUAUUUGGGAUCUACCAUCCGAGAAUGCUCAUUUCCAAAAUGUUUACAGUGACUCUGUCCAAGAUGUCGACAAUCUGGAGGCCGAAAAUGUUGGCAUAGAUAAAAAAAAACUCUUCAUCUGGAGCUAGACUUUUUAUCGACUUCUCACAAUACUUUCAAAACAAUGUUUAUGUAGCUUAAAAGAAUGUUGAUUAUGACGAUGAGGACGAGACCGAAGUACCUCCGCUAACGGGUCGAAUUG
rnacentral:lncRNA from 1 species